UACGUAGGGGGCAAGCGUUAACCGGAAUUACUGGGUGUAAAGGGAGCGUAGACGGUAAUGUAAGUCUGGAGUGAAAGGCGGGGCCCAACCCCGGGACUGCUCUUGGAACUGCGUGGCUGGAGUGCAGGAGGGGCAGGCGGAAUUCCUGGUGUAGCGGUGAAAUGCGUAGAUAUCAGGAGGAACACCGGUGGCGAAGGCGGCCUGCUGGACUGCAACUGACGUUGAGGCCCGAAAGCGUGGGGAGCAAACAGG
rnacentral:rRNA from 1 species